rnacentral:rRNA from 1 species
AAUAGAUACCCCGGUAGUCCACGCCGUAAACGAUGAGUACUAGUUGUCGGGGGUAUCGACCCCCUCGGUAACGAAGCUAACGCGAUAAGUACUCCGCCUGGGGACUACGGCCGCAAGGCUAGAACUCAAAGGAAUUGACGGGGGCCCGCACAAGCAGCGGAGCGUGCGGUUUAAUUCGAAGCGACGCGAAGAACCUUACCAGGGCUUGACAUGUUGAGGACCGCCGGUGAAAGUCGGCUUCCCUUCGGGGCCUCAUCACAGAUGCUGCAUGGUCGUCGUCAGCUCGUGCCGUGAGGUGUUGGGUUAAGUCCCGCAACGAGCGCAACCCCUGUCGCCAGUUGUACUUCUCUGGCGAGACUGCCCGGAGCAACCGGGAGGAAGGCGGGGAUGAUGUCAGAUCAGCAGUGGCUCUUACGUCCUGGGCCACUCGCACGCUACAAUGGGCAGUACAGACCGUUGCGAAACCGUGAGGUGAAGCUAAUCGGAUAAAGCUGUCCUCAGUUCGGAUUGCAGGCUGCAACCCGCCUGCAUGGAAC